rnacentral:lncRNA from 1 species
UCACAUCAAUAUACUCCUCUUAAUAUUCCACACUUAAAACCCUAAAAAUCUCCUAACCGGCGGCGGCCGAAGGCCAAUUCCGGCGACCUCCAAAACCUAUGAAAUUUUGACAGAAUAAUCCUCUCAUCAUGCUCUACAACUUUCAUGACCAACACAUCACCCAAUUCCAAGCCUAACUAGGCUAAUCGAACGAAAACAACUUAAAAGCCCUAGAAAUUUCAACUCCACAUUUCUCCUUACCUAGCUCAACAGGGAGGGAGCUGCUUGGAGGGGUUGCUGCACGGGAGGAGGGCUACAAAACCGUACCAAGCUUGCCCGGAUUGGUGGCCGGAGGAGGGAGUUCCGGCGACCGGAAGUUCGGGGCAGCCUAUCCUUUCGGGCGGCACCGCUCUCUCACGGCGGCGCUAGGGGGGGCUGCUACCAGCCUAGAAUGGAAGCUGGGUUGGAGGCCGUUCGAUUGGGACCGGUGCGGCGGUCUGGGGCGGCCGGACGGCGGCGGUCUGGCAGUCGGAAAUCCGGCAGCGGGAGGGCUCGGGUGCGGGAGCGGGUAAGGAGAGAAAAUCGGGAGGAAAAAGAGAAUGGGUUUGGGCCUCACACCCCAAACCGGUCCAUCACCUAUAUACUACCCAAUUCUAAAAUAAAACACCCCGAAAAAAUAAUACCCGAAUAAAAAUUACCUUUUACUAGCUAAAAUUACUAUUUUUACCGUCGUCGUAUUUUCCUCAUACGAAUAAUCCUCCGCACAUAAUCAUCCCCGAAACCCCUCUAGGAACCAAUUAACUAUUAAUUCAAUGAUCGAGACGGUAAAAUUCUUAUUAUAAUCACGCUAGUAAAUAAGGUAAAAAUAUAAGGGUCGGGAUGUGACAAGAUCUUCUCUCGCUUAGGUUUGGAACCUGAAGGUCCGGCUCCUCCUCAUUCUUCUCCGGGUCCUCCUCCUCCUCCUCAGUCAUCUUUGAUUCCUCCUCCUACUCAGUCGUCUCCACCUCCACUUCCUACUCAGUCGUGUCCGGCAUUUGUUGAUGAGGAUCAGUUUUUGAACCUCUAUUAGUCGAAUUUUAGUUUGUAUGAACACAAUUUUAAUUAUUAAUGCAUAAUUUUUAUAUUAUUAAUGAUUUGAUCUAUAUAUUUAGUUUUAAUAUAAUUAUUUCUAGAACAACCGAAAUAAAUAUCUAUUUUAUCGGUAACAAAAUUAAAAACCAAAACAAAUAAUAAUUUGUGAAAAAAAAAUAAUUCUGAUCACCUUAGUCGACGGAAAAUUGAAAAUCCGUCGGAAAGGGUACAAACCUUACCGACGGAAAAUAAUUUUUUGUCAGCUAAGAGUGCAUAACGACCGACCGCUGACCUUCUUAGUCGACGAAAAAGUCUCCUUUCAGUCGGUAUUAGACAAUCAUUACCGACGGAAAAAUAUAUUUUCCAUCGGCUAUGAAGGAACAGAACCAGGACCAUAUCGUCGGCUAGAUCUUAACCGACAGGAAUUUUCCGUCGUCUAAGAAACUUACAUCCUAGCCGACGGAAUAUUUCGUCUGUAAAGAAGCCAGGUUUUUGUUGUUUAGGUAAAUGUUAGUCGACGGAAAUAUACCCGACGGAUUGUUUCCGUCGUUUAGGAAACAAUAACUUAGUCGACGGAAUAGUCGUCGACUAAGAUCCGUCGAUUAAGAUAUCUCUUAGUCGACGGAAAUAUAUGUUUCCAUCGGCUAUUGUCUUAGCAGACGACUGUUAGCCGACGGAUCUUAGUCGACGGAUUUUCCGUCGGCUAUUGUCUUGGCUAGGAACUUAAUCCGUCGGCUAGGAUCUUAGUAGAUGGAAUAUGUUUCUUAACAGACGGAAAUUUUCAGUCGGCUAAGAGCCGUAAUCCAGUAGUGGCAGUAUUUACUUCGAGUUUCAGGAUGAAAUUCGGGAUGGGUCCUGACAGUCCAUCUCCUUUCGGGCUGAGUAAUCUUCGAUCACUGCACGAGUCCAUAUGGUGGCCGAGCCUGCCGCAAGUGUAGCAGAAGUCACAGAGCCCCUCAUAAGCAUACUCCACUCUUGUUCUUGUAAACUCAUUCAAUGGAAGCCAAAAACCGGUGGGGAGGGAUUUCGGGAGUCUAGAAGCACCUUUACCCUUAAGUAUCCACGUAGAACUGCAUCAUCUUCAUCUAGAUCCUCCACUUCAAGGACCUUCCCAAACUCCGCCCCAAUCAACUUGGCGUUCCUAGAAUUCAUCUUCUCCUUCGUGAGGCCCCGGAUUUGAACCCAGUACCACACCAUAUUGAAGUGAACAUCAUGGACAGUGAGCUGCGGAAGCCAUUCAACCACGUUGAAACGCAUGUUGUCAACAUGCCAAGGGCCCCCAUUUAGCAACAGAGAAGCCCCCUCUCGGCUUACCUUGAUGGAAAAGAUGUUUCUGUGCAGAUGGACAAGCUUGAAAUUGCCAAUCUCCUUCCAAGAUGUCCUGAGUGAACCCUUGAUUCCUCCAAUGUUCGGAACCACAUCAGCAAUAAGGGCACCCAACAACGUCACCCCGUUCUCAACUUCAUCUAGACAAACCGAAUCCUCUAACCGUGAGGCUAGGCUGUCAUGGUUGCUCAUCUUUCCAGAAAACUAAAGACAACUUCCACAAGAGGGAAGAGAAAGCUCCAAAUUUGGAGAGAGAAAGAAAAAGUGCUACCACAAUCAAAUCGGGUAGAGACGAGGGUUAUGGGUAUGGAGGAAUUGAGGGCUAUAAUCUGGGGAGAGAGUAUAAGCUGAGAAACAGAGCUAAUUAGAUCUGGGGAGGGUGUUGGGAUUGGAAGCGGGUGGGGGCUGAAGAAUUUUUAGAGAAAGAAAACAGAAAGUAGAGAGAGCCAUGAGAGAGAGAGAGAAGGAAGGUUGAGAUGCUAAAAUUUGAAGAGACAUUUUAUCACCAAUUCAAUACUGAGUCCAAAGUUUUACAAUGAAUGGCUUGUAUGAGUUGAAGAGCGGUGUACGUGCUACCUUGCUAAAUAAUAGAAUAGCUAUGCAGAUACAUGCAAUAAUUUAGCACUGAUGGACUUAUGUAGGGUCGUAUAGUUAUCCGCAACAUGUAUCAUAACAGAAACGUUAUUCAUCAAUAUUUUUCAUGUGAAACGUACAAUUCUCAACGACAAAUAGGAAACUCAGAAAUCAAUGGACUUGCUGCUUUCUCCGUCCCACAAGAGAAGAAUAGAUUAUUGGGGUGUUUCUGAUGAGGGAUGAGGCAUCAGUCUUUUGAACAAUUAUGAACAAGUUUCGUUAUAUUUUCCAUACACGUACAAAACGUGCAGGUUUCAAUAACAUUCACCUGAGCAAGACAGCUUUCUCGAUAACACUACACGUGUGUGCUGGGUUUAGAUAGGUUGAUUACUAGCAUGCAAACCAAGAGUAACUAAUUAUCAGCAAUGAAAUUACUAGCUUGUUGAGAGGACAGAUCCCACAUCUUUACUUAACUGAUGAAAGUGAUUUCUAUCUUUAUAUGUAUAUGUAUAUGGUUUCGAUCUUCUUACACAUCCUAAUAUCUAAUAAAUUAGUAUUUCAAUUUUGUUGUCGCCGGAAAAAUAACCCGAUGACACUUAGUUUCACUCUACCACUAGACGGUAAUGACCAUUUGACGAAGUAAGGAAUUCGCUGUCUACCUAGAGCACUUAGAGUGCACAGACCGGCACAAAACCCUUCAAGCCCUACAGACCUAUAUGGUUUCGAUAUUAUUGUCAGUGUAAGAAUGUCAAACGUUUGUGAACUUUGAACAAAUUAUCCAUAGAAAAUGCAUAGGUUAAUGAUUUAUGAUUUAUGAUUUAUAUAUAAUAGCUAAAGCCUAAAGGAUACGUUAGAUUAUGGAGCAAAUAUGCAUGACAUAAAUAGUAAACUCGUCUAUAUGCGUAAUUUCAUGUCCACAAUUUCUUUGGUUCACUUUUCUCAUGUUUCAUGUUUUUGUGAACGAAAGUAAAUUAGGUUAAUGGGGUAGCCUCAACACUAGGACCAUGUCGGGCUCAGACGCAGACAUCUAUGGCAGGAUUUGGAACAAGGCCGACGGGAGAUCGAUAGAUAAAUUAUUACAUUACUUAAUAUUGGAAAUUUUAGGUGUAGUGGAUAUUCAGAUAAGGGGACAUCUGAACUAGCUAGUAUGUGUAUUAAAAGAGAGUUAAAAGACUGUUUUUUUUUUUUUAGAAAGAUAAAUCUAUAUAUAAUAAUAACCAAACUAUUACAACCGUAAGAGAUCUCGAUGGUGGAUAACAAGUCCCCAUACUCCUCCCUACUAUGUUGCACGGACUGACACGACCCACCCCGAAUUUCACCCUGAAACCCGGAGUAAGUCGUGCGGGGACCACCUCCAAGAAAUAUAUUACCGAAAAUUCGGCAUAACCUCCCUUGAAAAUGGGCAACCCUUCCUAAAGAAAACCUGCAAACACUUCCAAUAAAUUCAAUCCCACCUUAACUCCUGGAGCCUACGUGCUCCCCAAAUAUAACCAUCACCAACAACGACACAACAUUAUCCAAACAUCAAAUAUAAUUAUCUAAAAAGAUAACAUAAAUCCUCUGACAAAUAUUCUAAAAUGUCAACAUGCCUUCGCUCACAACCGAAAUAAUAUUAUACAAUAUCCCCAAGGGAAAAUCAGAGCUACUAGACACUAGAGGAAGCAAGAAAAACACAGGUAGGUUAAACAGGUAACCUACUGGUGAAAAGUGGUGGAAAUGCGGGUGACUAUGCCUCGCCUCCUACUAGAACCAACCCGAACUCUGCAGACUAGGCAUUUUAAAACGAAGGGCCCAAGGGAAAAUAUUUAAUAACGUUAGAGUGAGUGGACAAAAAUAAAUUAAUAAAAAUAUUUAUGCUUCCCCAUUUUAAUUUCCAAAAAAAAAUAUACUGCAUGUGGCAGCUCAAAAGCGCUCAACUCAUAAACUGGCAAUUUCACGACUAGCUCCGGCUAGUCACUAACUCAAAUAAAAUGGAGCCUCUCAGGCUAAAUUAUAUAUAAUCAUAUAUUCGUAUGUAUUUACACCCGUCAGACUCCUUAUAUGAAUCCUAUAAACAAUUUAGAAAAAUAGAAAUUCAUACAAGGCUACAACGUUGGCGUUUAACGCUCACGUUGCGCCAUAAUAGUAUUUUUCCUCAUUAUGACCGAAGAGGACGGUGUAUUUAUAUACGUGUGGACUCCCUAUAUGAAAACCUAAAUAAACCAGAAAAGAAAGUAGUUUUCAUAUAGGGCUAUGACGCUAGUGUCUAACACUCACGUCACGCCAUAAUGGCAUUUUACCUCAUUAUGACGGACCAAGCACGUAUGGCUAGCUAGCAUUUAUAUACAUACUAUACUCAUAAUAUCUAUAAACAUAUCCACCGUUUUCGGGAUCUCUCCAAAGGAGGAAAAUUGCCAAAUAUCCGAGAAAGAAAUAAAUGAUCAACAAAUUAAUUCAUCGCAUGCUUUUCAAUUUAACACAAAGGUCCACUCACAAAUUAGGCCUAAGCCUGAUGACGCUCCAAGGCUUCCUCUGCUCGGGCCUCCUCUCGUCCUGUUCCAAAUAUAUAAUUAAUUUCCCACUAAAAAUCCAAUAAUUAAACACAAUGGGCAAAAUUAAACGUGAGCCUCCCACACACUCAUCAUUGCCCAACUUCGCCAUUCUUAACUCAAAAUGGCUCAAACUUCACUGAACAUACCGGCAGCCUUAAAUCAACAUUCCACAGAUUAAUGACUUAAAUCCUACGGCCGGAUUCUACAAUAAUAACCGCCAAAAAUACCAAACUUUGGAAAUUCACAAACCUAUCCAAAACUCAUCCGAAAAUUCCAUAACUCACAUCAAUAUACUCCCCUUAAUAUUCCACAAAUAAUACCCUAAUAAAAAUUACCUUUUACUAGCUAAAAUUUUACCAUUUUUACCGUCGUCAUAAUUUUCUCCUACGAAUAAUCCUCCGCAUAUAAUCGUCCCCGAAACCCCUUUAGGGACCAAUUAAACUAUUACCUCAAUGACGGAGACGAUAAAAUUCUUAUUAUAACCAAGCUAGUAAAUAAGGUAAAAUAUAAGGGUCGGGAUGUGACACGGACACUCCACACCUCUGGGGUGUCGGACACUCUGACACGGCGCCCGACACGGCAAUAUACGUGUCCAAAAAAGUUGACUUUUCAGACACAUCUCAAACACGUUGACCGGCCCCGACACGCCACGUCAGCGUUUCAGACUUCAAAAAAAAAAAUGGUAAAUUUUCUAUUCAUUUUAUAUUAGAUCAAUUAUGAAAUAACAAGUUUGGUUGGAUUAUGGAUAUGAUAAUUAUAUUAGUUCAUCUU